rnacentral:rRNA from 1 species
AACGAACGCUGGCGGCAUGCCUAACACAUGCAAGUCGAACGAGAUCUUCGGGUCUAGUGGCGCACGGGUGCGUAACGCGUGGGAAUCUGCCCUUCGGUUCGGAAUAACAGUUGGAAACGACUGCUAAUACCGGAUGAUGACGAAAGUCCAAAGAUUUAUCGCCAGAGGAUGAGCCCGCGUAGGAUUAGCUAGUUGGUGUGGUAAAGGCGCACCAAGGCGACGAUCCUUAGCUGGUCUGAGAGGAUGAUCAGCCACACUGGGACUGAGACACGGCCCAGACUCCUAUGGGAGGCAGCAGUGGGGAAUAUUGGACAAUGGGCGAAAGCCUGAUCCAGCAAUGCCGCGUGAGUGAUGAAGGCCUUAGGGUUGUAAAGCUCUUUUACCCGGGAUGAUAAUGACAGUACCGGGAGAAUAAGCUCCGGCUAACUCCGUGCCAGCCGCCGCGGUAA